rnacentral:rRNA from 1 species
UACGUAGGGUGCAAGCGUUAAUCGGAAUUACUGGGCGUAAAGCGUGCGCAGGCGGUUGUGCAAGACAGAUGUGAAAUCCCCGGGCUCAACCUGGGAAUUGCAUUUGUGACUGCACGGCUAGAGUGUGUCAGAGGGGGGGUAGAAUUCCACGUGUAGCAGUGAAAUGCGUAGAGAUGUGGAGGAAUACCGAUGGCGAAGGCAGCCCCCCUGGGAUAACACUGACGCUCAUGCACAAAAGCGUGGGGGAGCAAACAGG